GGUGUUUUGAGAUAAUGAUUCUGUACAUUGAAGUGUCUUGUUUGCUAAAAGAAUAUGUGGCUUCUUCAGAAGAUGAUUUUUUUUCAUUGACGCCUGUUCACUUUAGGGUUUCUGGCCUCCUGGAGCACCAGUAAUGUACUGUAUGGGCACUGUUGUGUGUGUGUGUGCUGUAAACAUAAGUGUGUGUCCGGUCUAGAUUUGUGCCUUGAUUCUUCGUGAAUCACCAGCUCCUCUUCUGGAGAUGACUGUAUCAUCUGUCCCAGGUCAUGUUUACAGAGAGACUGUGGCAGUCAGUUUAGUUUAGUUAAACUUUGGCAUAAAUAGUUCAGUGGUUCAUGAACAACCUCCCAUCCAUCAGUGUUCAGAAACAUGGGCAUGUGCUGUUGUGCAGCUCAGAGAUUUGAGCUGCAGCACUUAUACAGAGCAUUGAUCAUUUAUCGCCUGCUUAAAGCAAUAUUGUCUUGCUCUAAGAGGCUACCAUCUCCUCAGUCUAUUCUGAAACAUGACUUGUUCGUUUGCCUUUUAGUGCAGAAUGUCAUUCUACAAACCAGUCCUGUGACCAGUGUUUAGUGUCUGAUCUUAUAUAGAUUUGAGGGAAAAAGAGACAGCAGCAUAAAGCAGUGUGAGUGCAUAAGGCAAAUACAGAUAAAAAUCUAUUUUUGUUAUUUUUUACUUUGUACAAACAGUUUGUUGUAAUUACCUCAAUCAAAACCUAUUUUACUGUCUAAAGGUCUAAUGUUGUAAAAAUACAAUUAUUUUAUGUAGUAUAAAAUUCUACAGUUUUAUAAGAGGAAAAUAAUGUUGGCUCAGAAAAUGUUGAUUAAUUGUGGAUUUUGUUUGCUUCAUUGGUUUAGUCUUCUAAUGUUUUUGAAGGGCAUUUUGGGUUUUUACUCACUAACCCCUAGUGACAAGACAGGAGCCCUUUGCUUUGCCUGUCUCAGAAGUGUAAGUUCUCUGGUAAAAAGCUGCCCAAGCUCACUUUGGCAUAAAGCUAAUCAACUUGAGAAUGAUUAUUUUCAUUUCAACUUUGAGUAUUGUAGAGAAUCCUUGUUCUGUAACAUCCUACUUUUUAACAAAUACAGGUAAAAUGUCUGUCAGGGCUUUUGGUAUCACUAAGGGAACAUGUCCUAGAUGUCCUGUCAGAAAUCAUUUUAAUUGUGUUUCUUAUAAUCGUGUUAUAUUCUCCACUGUUGAUGGAUGGGCUCUGUUUGUAAAUAAUACUGAUUAAAUUAAUUUAAGAAUGUG
ensembl:lncRNA